ensembl:snRNA U6 U6 spliceosomal RNA
GUGCUCGUUUCGGCAGCACAUAUACUAAAAUUGGAACGAUACAGAGAAGGUUGGCAAGGCCCCUGCGCAAGGAUGACACGCAAAUUUGUGAAGCGUUCCAUAUUUUU